UACGUAGGAGGCAAGCGUUGUCCGGAAUUACUGGGUGUAAAGCGCGUGUAGGCGGCAGGCCAAGUCUGUGGUGAAAUCGCUCGGCUCAACUGGGCGGGGUCCAUGGAAACUGGUCAGCUGGAGGACGGUAGAGGUGAGUGGAAUUCCCGGUGUAGUGGUGAAAUGCGUAGAUAUCGUCAGGAAUGCCGGUGGUGAAGACGGGUGACUGGGCUGGUUCUGACACUGAGGCACGAAAGCGUGGGGAGCGAACGGG
rnacentral:rRNA from 1 species